GCUUCAGCUUGCUGAAGCUAGUAAAGUGGCGCACGGGUGAGUAACGCGUGGGUAAUCUACCUUCGAGUUGGGGAUAACGUUGCGAAAGCGACGCUAAUACCGGAUGACAUCCUGCAGGCCUUGGUCUGCAGGAUCAAAGGUGGCCUCUCCAUGGAAGCUACUGCUUGAAGAUGAGCCCGCGUCCCAUUAGCUAGUUGGUGGGGUAAUGGCCCACCAAGGCCGCGAUGGGUAGCUGGUCUGAGAGGAUGAUCAGCCACACUGGAACUGACACACGGUCCAGACUCCUACGGGAGGCAGCAGUGAGGAAUUUUGCGCAAUGGGCGAAAGCCUGACGCAGCAACGCCGCGUGGGUGAUGAAGGCCUUCGGGUCGUAAAGCCCUGUCAAGUGGGAAGAACCCACAAGGUGCGAACAGUAUUCUGUGCUGACGGUACCACUGAAGGAAGCACCGGCUAACUCCGUGCCAGCAGCCGCGGUAAUACGGGGGGUGCGAGCGUUAAUCGGAAUUACUGGGCGUAAAGCGCACGCAGGCGGCUUGUUAA
rnacentral:rRNA from 1 species